rnacentral:rRNA from 1 species
UACGUAGGGGCAAGCGUUGUCCGGAUUUAUUGGGCGUAAAGAGCGUGUAGGCUGCCAUGUAGGUCCGUUGUGAAAACUCGAGGCUCAACCUCGAGACGCCGAUGGAAACCAUGUGGCUAGAGUCCGGAAGAGGAGAGUGGAAUUCCUGGUGUAGCGGUGAAAUGCGCAGAUAUCAGGAAGAACACCCGUGGCUAAGGCGGCUCUCUAGUACGGUACUGACGCUGAGACGCGAAAGCGUGGGGAGCAAACAGG